AUUGAACGCUGGCGGCAGGCCUAACACAUGCAAGUCGAAUGGUAACAGGAAACAGCUUGCUGUUUCGCUGACGAGUGGCGGACGGGUGAGUAAUGUCUGGGAAACUGCCUGAUGGAGGGGGAUAACUACUGGAAACGGUAGCUAAUACCGCAUAACGUCGCAAGACCAAAGAGGGGGACCUUCGGGCCUCUUGCCAUCAGAUGUGCCCAGAUGGGAUUAGCUAGUAGGUGGGGUAACGGCUCACCUAGGCGACGAUCCCUAGCUGGUCUGAGAGGAUGACCAGCCGCACUGGAACUGAGACACGGUCCAGACUCCUACGGGAGGCAGCAGUGGGGAAUAUUGCACAAUGGGCGCAAGCCUGAUGCAGCCAUGCCGCGUGUAUGAAGAAGGCCUUCGGGUUGUAAAGUUCUUUCAGCGGGGAGGAAGGGAGUAAAGUUAAUACCUUUGCUCAUUGACGUUACCCUAAGAAUAAGCACCGGCUAACUCCGUG
rnacentral:rRNA from 1 species